rnacentral:rRNA from 1 species
AUUGAACGCUGGCGGCAUGCCUUACACAUGCAAGUCGAACGGCAGCACGGGAGCAAUCCUGGUGGCGAGUGGCGAACGGGUGAGUAAUAUAUCGGAACGUGCCCAGUCGUGGGGAUAACGUAGCGAAAGCUACGCUAAUACCGCAUACGAUCUAUGGAUGAAAGCGGGGGAUCGCAAGACCUCGCGCGAUUGGAGCGGCCGAUAUCAGAUUAGGUAGUUGGUGAGGUAAAGGCUCACCAAGCCGACGAUCUGUAGCUGGUCUGAGAGGACGACCAGCCACACUGGGACUGAGACACGGCCCAGACUCCUACGGGAGGCACGCAGUGGGGAAGUUUUGGACAAUGGGCGC